rfam:Xanthomonas campestris pv. vesicatoria plasmid pXCV183, complete genome
GUCGAGAGCUCCCCUGCCUGCCCAGCCUUACGUCUACGCGUGGCAACACUGGCAACUGUUCGGGCGAUACGGGGGAGAAACCGGCGUGGGCACCCAGCUACACGACGAUCGGUAACGAUCCAGGCUCUCACGGUGGCCCACGCCGGCUCUCGACGCCCA